rnacentral:rRNA from 1 species
CAGUCGCCGCGGUAAUACGUAGGGUGCAAGCGUUAAUCGGAUUUACUGGGCGUAAAGCGUGCGUAGGCGGCUUCUUAAGUCGGAUGUGAAAUCCCUGAGCUUAACUUAGGAAUUGCAUUCGAUACUGGGAAGCUAGAGUAUGGGAGAGGAUGGUAGAAUUCCAGGUGUAGCGGUGAAAUGCGUAGAGAUCUGGAGGAAUACCGAUGGCGAAGGCAGCCAUCUGGCCUAAUACUGACGCUGAGGUACGAAAGCAUGGGGAGCAAACAGGAUUAGAUACCCCUGUAGUCCCUGUCUCUUAUAC